rnacentral:misc_RNA from 1 species
CGUCUGAAUUUGGCGAAAUAUCUGCUGAUUCAUUUUUGGGGGGAAAUGAUGAUGAUGUUCAAUGAGAUGGGAUUUUGUGAUGAUAUGGAUUUCCUUUCUGCUCCAAUUGUGGAAGGAGAUUCUGGAGCUCCACCAACUGAUCCUGAAGUCGUGGUGGAAGAUGAUUAUUCUGAUGAAGAGAUCGAUGUCGAUGAGCUCGAGAGGAGGAUGUGGAGGGACAAGAUGCGUCUCAAACGCCUUAAAGAGCAAAGCAAGGUUAAGGAAGGGAUUGAUAUUGUGAAGCAGCGACAGUCUCAAGACCAGGCUAGGAGGAAGAAGAUGUCGAGGGCA